AAUUCUACCUGAGGCCGCGCACUUUUUUCCUGUUGCCCUGACUGCUGUGGUGUCAUCGGCGCUUGGCCGGUCUCAGCCGCCCCUCGCUGCGGUGACUCGAGUUCCCCUGCAGCCGGCCAUGCCCAUUGCGCGGCUCGCUGCUGCGGAGCUCGCGCAGCACUGAGGGAGCCGCCGGGCCAGGGGAAGGCGCGGGUCAUGGCAGAGUUCCCGCCAGUGCCGCUCUCCCUGCGGGAGGAGCCCCCGGCCGCCCGCUCUGGCUCCGAGUCCGAGUCGGAGGCCGAACUGUCGCAGAGCCUGGCCCGCACCAAGAUCCGCUCGUACGGCAGCACGGCCAGCGUCGCGGCCCCCCUGGCGGAGCGCUACCUGGAGCAUCGCCUCAGCGCGGGCGACACGCUACAGGGCAUCGCGCUCAAGUAUGGAGUUACGAUGGAACAAAUAAAAAGGGCAAAUAAACUAUUUACCAAUGACUGUAUAUUCCUGAGGAAAACUCUGAAUAUUCCAGUUAUAUCAGAGAAGCCGUUACUGUUCAAUGGACUUAAUUCGCUGGAAUCGCCUGAGAAUGAAAUUAUUGACAUUUCUCUUUGUGGUGAAGGACCAAUAACAGUUCAGGAAGAGAGUAGUUCUUCUUCUCCCAGUCCUCAAGAACCUGACAAUCAACCUGCUGCACCCGAAGAACUAUCUGCCAAAGAUUUUCUACAUAGACUGGACUUGCAGAUUAAGUUGUCCAAACAGGCAGCCAGGAAACUAAAAGAUGAAGAUAUCAGAGCAUCUACAUCUCCUAUUGAUGUCAGUAGGACUAUCAUGUGAAUAAGGAUUGCAAGUUCUUGUCUUCAAUGUUAUGGAGCCACAUCGUGACACCAUAAGAGAGGAGGAUGAGGAAAGUCCCUAUGCAACUUCUUCCUAUCACCAGUAGAUGACAGACACAUGAUGACCUGCAAACGUGGAAUGAAGAUACAGUUCUUAAAGAACUAAAUAAUUGAUUCAAAAGCAAGCCUUUCAGACUGAUUACCGUGGUGUACUUUUUACAAGUCCUGAAUGGGUAAUUUCACUGACUAAUUGCACUGAAAUUAUUUGACCUCUUCUGCCUUCCGCAGGUUAAUUUCCUUAAAUUAUAUCAAUAAGAGGUGUAAGCCUUGCAAAACUAGCAAUUGCCUUCAUAUUCCUUCUGUGUAAAUUGUAGGAUGGUAGCAACAAUAUAUCCUUGAAGUCACCUUUAUGCAGGAUGCUUGGCUCUUUAGUGUACAGUUUGUAAAUACUUGUUAAGAUAAAGUGUGAGAGAUUUGAUUAAAUAUUUAUGGAGAAAGUUACACUUAUCACUGGCAAACUUAACUAUAUAAAAUGACUGAAGUUUUAUGAUACUUACAACUUGAUUUUGCAGUCCCAAUGCAGGCAAAUUUGCCACGGAAGUUUUGCCUGCAGCAAGGCUGCAGAACUGAUCCCUAAGUUUUGUGUGUGUAAGUGUGCAUCUAUAAAUAACAUCUAUGUGUUCCUGUAAAGGAUUAAUUUAGCCCUCGAUUUUGAUUGGGUAAAGAAAGCCUUUAGGGGAAAAAGUUAUAGUAAGAGGUAUUUUUCUUUGUGUUAUAGUGACAUUUGAAUUGUUCAUAAAUGUAUUCUUGUGUGCAAAUAUAUUUUCAGUGUAACUUUAUUAAACAACCCCCCCCCCAUAAUAAAUGAAUAUUCUUCAUUA